rnacentral:lncRNA from 1 species
CAGUGAUGGAGGUCUUUUUUUUUUUUGUGAUUAUGUGGAGCUGAGAAAAAUAUUUUUGACAUUAUGAAAUAUUCAUUCUGUUUUUCGGAGUUUGAUUCACGAAAGCUCUCUUUUAAACAAUCAUAGAAUCAGAUGUUUUUCAUGAUUUAAGUAUUUUCAUUUAAAUCUGGCACGCAUAUAUGCUACAUACAACACGUCUUUUUGUCCUCAGUAACGCUUUGUGGUAGACAUAGAAAUACGUCCGGUCCUAUAAGCGCCCUUGUGUGUACAUUUCUUGCCCAAUCUUUAUAAAAUUCAUAUCAAAAUUGAAUAUCAGCAAUAUCUUAGGUACGUUUGAAAAUCAGGGCUUAUCAUUUAUUUUUACAGGAUUAAUGUCUUUGAAAUUGUAAUUUAUAUUGAACAUUGCAUUAAAUUUAAAGCAAAGGUUAAUUUCAGUAAGGUCUUGAGAGAGAGUGCCGACAAACUAAUUAUACAGGAGGUAUCCCCUUGGAAAAAAAAUAUCUGGAAAAUAACACAGGUAGUGCUCUUAUAAAAAGUAAAAUCACAAAAAUACUGAACACAGAGGUAAAUCCAAUCGGAAAGUCCAUAAUCACAUGGCAAAAUCAAAUGACAAAACACAUCAAAAACGAAUGGACAAGAACUGUCAUAUUCCUGACUUGGUACAAGCAUUUUUAAAUGUAGAAAAUGGUGGAUUAAACCUGGAUUUAUAGCGCUAACCCUCUCACUUUGAUGACAGUCUCGGCAAAUUCCGUUAUAUUUACAAUGAUGCGUGAUCUAAACAGAUAUAAUAAAUAAAAUAGCCAAAAUAUGGUACAGCAGUCAUCAUCGUGUAACAAUUUUAAAAGGAACAAUUUAACAGAACACAUUCAGUCUUUACAAAUCUUUAUUAAAAAGUUAUUGCCCUUUGUCAGAUAAAAUAUAAGCGGGGAGUUUGGAACGCUGUUCUUUUACGUUUUAAAUAAUGCAGACAGUGCGGCAGCGUAAUAUAGGGAGUAUACCAUGACGUUGUGGUGGCAUAAUCUUGAAACUUGUUCAUUAUGAUGUCAGCUGUUUAAAUUAUAUGCCAUAAUGGUUUUUACUCAAAUUAUAUGGUUCACUUAACAUAGAGAUGGGAUAGUGGCAUAUUAUUUCAUUUACAGUUUUAAGUUUUAUGUUAAGGUAGUUUAUUGUGCUGGUAGCUUUUAAUAUUAUAUGACAAAAAUAUCGAUUUUGACCGCGUU